rnacentral:lncRNA from 10 species
UGGGAAGUGACCAACUCAGCAUUUCGCUGGAGGCUAUAGGAUCAAACAGCAAACUGUUUAUCAUGAAUGCAGGAUGUGGGCAAACUCACACUGCCCUGCCACCAAAAGGUUUGUUGAGGGCCUCACUCCCUGGCGCUGGGCUCCUUGAAGUUAUCUAUUGAGAAGUCUAGCACCUAAGAAUGCAGUCUUGCAAGCCUGCUGCGAAUCAAGCUGCUGGCCAACAACCACUCCCCACCUUCUCACUAUCUCUAUUGCCUAAUAAAUAUGGAGGGCAGUGUAAAGCUCAGGGCCCUUGUCCACUAGAGACAAGGUGCCCUCCGACCCCUUCUUCCAAAUAUACUCUUUUGCCUCUUGUCUUUUAUUCCCGUGUUUGCCCCCUUUGUUCAGUCCCCCUAGGUCCAUGCAGGUUACAUAGUGGUGCCCCAAACAGUGACACAAUUGGGUUCUCAACAAGUGGUGACUCAGAACAGGGACGCCAAGGAUGCCAACAAGUGGCGUCUGAACACGGGACUUCGACGAUGUGAACAAAAAAGAUCUGCUGGAGCAGAGAAGCUGAAAUUGACAAGGCAAACGGGGACCCCAGGAUGAGUCUGCCGGCAGCAUAUAUAAGGCAGGGACUAUAGGAAAUGAAGGUGAACUCGUGGAGAUUUUGGAGAGAAUUUAAUGAAGAGGCUGUUUACCAAGGAUCUCUCUCUGUCUCCGAGGCUGGAGUGCAAUGUUGCAAUCAGGGCUCACUGCAGCCUCGACCUCCUGGGCUCAACUGAUCUUCGUACCACAGCCUCAUGAGUAACUGGGACUACAGACGACCAUGGGCAUUUUUUCUAUGCAACUACAGAUAGUAUCUCAUGAUAUGAAUGGUCCUGGAUUUACUUACACAUCCUCCUUUGGAUGAGCAAAAAGUAAAUUUUUCACAGUGAUAGACAUUUGUAGUGCUUUUUAAAGGCACUGGUUCUGGUGGACACUGAGAGACAAUUUUUAUUUGCUGCACGUGGAAAGGACAACAACAUACCUGGACAGAAAUGCCUCGAGGAUGUACUGAAGGCCCCUCUCACUUUUCACAGCCAUAACUGUAAGUUUCCUGGGGCCUCUCCAGAAGACAAGCAGAUGCCGCUAUGCUUCCUGAACAGCCCACAGAACUAGAUGGGGUUUCACCAUGUUAGCCAGGAUGGUCUCGAUCUCCUGACCUCGUGAUCCACCCGCCUUGGCCUCCCAAAGUGCUGGGAUUACAGGUGUGAGCCACCGCGCCUCGCCAAUGGUCUUCUGGUUUUAGAAGAAGGUAAGAAUGAAACUUCUUUUAUCAUCAGCUUAACAUAAAGGUUGACAUUCUUAGAGAUAAUGGAGGAAGCUGAUACAAAAGAAAACCAGAAACUAAACCCAGAAUAUAAAAACAAUUCCAGACUCUUGGUAAGGGAGAAGCCUGCCCCACUGGAGAAUCAUAAAACAGAGAAUCCGCUAUACAAUUGAGGGUCAUAA